UGGGGAAUUUUGGACAAUGGGCGAAAGCCUGAUCCAGCAAUGCCGCGUGUGUGAAGAAGGCCUUCGGGUUGUAAAGCACUUUUGUCCGGAAAGAAAUCCUUGGCUCUAAUACAGUCGGGGGAUGACGGUACCGGAAGAAUAAGCACCGGCUAACUACGUGCCAGCAGCCGCGGUAAUACGUAGGGUGCAAGCGUUAAUCGGAAUUACUGGGCGUAAAGCGUGCGCAGGCGGUUUGCUAAGACCGAUGUGAAAUCCCCGGGCUCAACCUGGGAACUGCAUUGGUGACUGGCAGGCUAGAGUAUGGCAGAGGGGGGUAGAAUUCCACGUGUAGCAGUGAAAUGCGUAGAGAUGUGGAGGAAUACCGAUGGCGAAGGCAGCCCCCUGGGCCAAUACUGACGCUCAUGCACGAAAGCGUGGGGAGCAAACAGGAUUAGAUACCCUGGUAGUCCACGCCCUAAACGAUGUCAACUAGUUGUUGGGGACUCAUUUCCUUAGUAACGUAGCUAACGCGUGAAGUUGACCGCCUGGGGAGUACGGUCGCAAGAUUAAAACUCAAAUGAAUUGACGGGGUCAUAGCUGUUUCCU
rnacentral:rRNA from 1 species